rnacentral:rRNA from 1 species
UACAGAGGGUGCAAGCGUUAAUCGGAUUUACUGGGCGUAAAGCGCGCGUAGGCGGCUAAUUAAGUCAAAUGUGAAAUCCCCGAGCUUAACUUGGGAAUUGCAUUCGAUACUGGUUAGCUAGAGUGUGGGAGAGGAUGGUAGAAUUCCAGGUGUAGCGGUGAAAUGCGUAGAGAUCUGGAGGAAUACCGAUGGCGAAGGCAGCCAUCUGGCCUAACACUGACGCUGAGGAGCGAAAGCCAGGGGAGCAAACGGG